CUGCUCCGGGCAGCCCCGCGGGUGAGCUGGGUGCGCGCUGGGUGCUUGGGGUCUGGCUCGCUCUCCCAUCCCCGGGCAGACAGCUGCACGGGUGGCCUCGUGGUCCAUGGCCUCCGGCUGGGCCGGGGAAAGCCGUUUCGCGGAGCACGCCCGGCGGGUAAGAUGCUUCUGGAAGGUUCCCUCAAGGAGGACAGCUGCCCCCUGUGCCUGGUGUUCCUGACUCUGAGCCAGGGCCGGGAGGGAGCCCCUCCCCUCCCUGAAUGCUGGGGACGUCCCUGUCACAGGGUCUGCUGGAGGCUGCAGACUUCCCGAGGCCUCGUCUUCACCAGCCUGAGCCAGGGAGACAGGGAGGCGGUGCCACCUGGCCCUGGACCACCGAGGCCAAGGUCUCACAGGAAGCUCAGCCUCCAGCCCCUGCAGAUCCGCACGGCAGCCGCAGACAUCCUGAGGACGACGCGUCCUGGGGUCCCAGCUGCACGAGGCUCAGGACAGAGCUGGGGGUGUCAGCGACAAUAUUUCCCUCGCUCGUACAUUCCUUGGUAAUAAAAACACAAGCGGAA
ensembl:lncRNA novel transcript